rnacentral:rRNA from 1 species
ACACCUUUGUUGCUUUGGCGGGCCCGCCUCGGCCACCGGCUCCGGCUGGUGAGCGCCCGCCAGAGGACCCCAAACUCUGAAAUUUAGUGUCGUCUGAGUACUAUAUAAUAGUUAAAACUUUCAACAACGGAUCUCUUGGUUCUGGCAUCGAUGAAGAACGCAGCGAAAUGCGAUAAGUAAUGUGAAUUGCAGAAUUCAGUGAAUCAUCGAAUCUUUGAACGCACAUUGCGCCCCUUGGUAUUCCGGGGGGCAUGCCUGUUCGAGCGUCAUUACAACCCUCAAGCUCUGCUUGGUAUUGGGCGUCCCCGGCGACGGGGUGCCCUAAAAUCAGUGGCGGUGCCGUCUGGCUCUAAGCGUAGUAAAUCUCUCGCUCUGGAUGCCCGGUGGAUGCUCCCAGAACCCCCCAUUUUUACAGGUUGACCU